GCAGAUGAGGAGAGAAGCGGGCACCAGUAGUGGGGGGAAUGGUAGGGCUCACCCGAACACCAGGAAGAUGAAACCAACCCUCGGGAGCAUUUUCCUGGGAUUCCCUGGCACGAUUCUCCGAGGCCGGCUCAGCAUGUUGGACAGGAUGACUCUGCUGGCAAGAGUGUCUUGGGCAUCUGAGAGACUCAGGCUGCCUAGCUGUAGCCCUGCCACCCCUCCUGUCAUGGCAUGCAGCCCAGGCUGUCUUUCAGAUCAUCCCUGAUUAUAAUUGAGGAGGAAAUCAGAACAGUCAAGAAUUGGGCUGACUGCCAAAUGGCAUUUCUGAAAUGAAGACCACACCUCUCAAGUGCCAACUCUGCGG
ensembl:lncRNA